GAUGAACGCUGACAGAAUGCUUAACACAUGCAAGUCUACUUGAACUUCGGUUUGGGUGGCGGACGGAUGAGUAACGCGUAAAGAACUUGCCUCACAGUUAGGGACAACAUUUGGAAACGAAUGCUAAUACCUGAUAUUAUGAUUUUAGGGCAUCCUAGGAUUAUGAAAGCUAUAUGUGCUGUGAGAGAGCUUUGCGUCCCAUUAGCUAGUUGGAGAGGUAACGGCUCACCAAGGCGAUGAUGGGUAGCCGGCCUGAGAGGGUGAACGGCCACAGGGGGACUGAGACACGGCCCUUACUCCUACGGGAGGCAGCAGUGGGGAAUAUUGGACAAUGGACCAAAAGUCUGAUCCAGCAAUUCUGUGUGCACGAUGACGUUUUUCGGAAUGUAAAGUGCUUUCAGUUGGGAAGAAAAAAAUGACGGUACCAACAGAAGAAGUGACGGCUAAAUACGUG
rnacentral:rRNA from 1 species